rnacentral:lncRNA from 1 species
GGAGUGGAGCUGGACAACCUCCAUGUCUGUGAAAGCAGAAAGAACAGUUUGGGACUUACAGGAACACCCCUGGCCUCGACAUAGGCAAGUUCUCUGAUCAUUUGUGCUCCCUAAGAGUGUAACUGAAUUUCUUCAUAACUCCAGGCCGCUUCUGUUCUAUGACGCAUCCACACAACCAAAUAAACGCUUGACAGGGAUCCAGGAGCCUCAGACACGAUGCUGAGCUACAUCUGCCAAAUGUGUUGUUUGGUCAGUGAAGUAAGAGUUGAUCAUAUAGAGAGAAGUACUGGAGAAAAGGUGGGUCAUUUUAGCAGAGGUGCAGGGGAGGCUGGGUAAUGGGUGCCUACAUGAAUUAUCUGUUGUCUGCUGGGGGAAAAUCACUGUGUCCAAGGCAACUUAAAGAGUUCAGUUUGGGCCGGGCGUGGUGACGCAUCCCUUUAAUCCCAGCACUUGGGAGGCAGAGGCAGGCAGAUUUCUGAGUUCGAGGCCAACCUG